rnacentral:lncRNA from 1 species
AUUCAAAGCCCAGCUGCAUAUUGCAUAACACCUUGAAUUAGAAAAUCCACGACCCACAAAACACUUACCUACUUUGUGGGGUUUAAAUAAAGCAGAGUGCUGCUCCUCUUUAAAGAACUGCUUUACAGUUAUCUUCCUGUCAGAAUUCCAAUUAUUCUAUGACUCAGUGG